rnacentral:rRNA from 1 species
AUUGAACGCUGGCGGAAUGCUUUACACAUGCAAGUCGAACGGCAGCACGGGGGCAACCCUGGUGGCGAGUGGCGAACGGGUGAGUAAUACAUCGGAACGUGCCCUGUCGUGGGGGAUAACGUAUCGAAAGUUACGCUAAUACCGCAUACGAUCUGAGGAUGAAAGCGGGGGACCUUCGGGCCUCGCGCGAUCGGAGCGGCCGAUGUCAGAUUAGGUAGUUGGUGGGGUAAAGGCCUACCAAGCCGACGAUCUGUAGCUGGUCUGAGAGGACGACCAGCCACACUGGGACUGAGACACGGCCCAGACUCCUACGGGAGGCAGCAGUGGGGAAUUUUGGACAAUGGGCGCAAGCCUGAUCCAGCCAUUCCGCGUGCAGGACGAAGGCCUUCGGGUUGUAAACUGCUUUUGUAUGGAACGAAAAGGCUCUGGCUAAUACCUGGGGCUCAUGACGGUACCGUAAGAAUAAGCACCGGCUAACUACGUG